rfam:Camelus ferus unplaced genomic scaffold scaffold818, whole genome shotgun sequence.
GAGGGUAUAGCUCAAGUGGUAGAGCACAGGCUUAGCGUGUAUGAGGUCCUGGGUUCAAUCCCCAGUACCUCCU